UACGGGGGGGGCAAGCGUUGUUCGGAAUUACUGGGCGUAAAGGGCUCGUAGGCGGCCUACUAAGUCGGACGUGAAAUCCCCAGGCUCAACCUGGGAACUGCGUCUGAUACUGGAUGGCUUGAAUCCGGGAGAGGGAUGCAGAAUUCCAGGUGUAGCGGUGAAAUGCGUAGAUAUCUGGAGGAAUACCGGUGGCGAAGGCGGCAUCCUGGACCGGCAUUGACGCUGAGGAGCGAAAGCCAGGGGAGCAAACGGG
rnacentral:rRNA from 1 species